CAGUAGCCGCGGUAAUACGAGGGGGGCAAGCGUUGUUCGGAUUUAUUGGGCGUAAAGCGCACGUAGGCGGAUCGAUCAGUCAGGGGUGAAAUCCCAGAGCUCAACUCUGGAACUGCCUUUGAUACUGUCGAUCUGGAGUAUGGAAGAGGUGAGUGGAAUUCCGAGUGUAGUGGUGAAAUUCGUAGAUAUUCGGAGGAACACCAGUGGCGAAGGCGGCUCACUGGUCCGUUACUGACGCUGAGGUGCGAAAGCGUGGGGAGCAAACAGGAUUAGAUACCCCAGUAGUCCCUGUCUCUUAUAC
rnacentral:rRNA from 1 species